rnacentral:rRNA from 1 species
CGCGGGAUUGGGUGCAGCAGGCGCGAAAACUUUACAAUGUGGGAAACCAUGAUAAGGGAAUUCCCAGUGUUCCUACAUAGUAGGAACUGUUUAGGUGUGUAAAAAGCACCUAAUAGAAAGGGCCGGGUAAGACCGGUGCCAGCCGCCGCGGUAAUACCGGUGGCUCGAGUGGUGGCCGCUAUUAUUGGGUCUAAAGGGUCCGUAGCCGGCUUGAUAAGUUACCUGGGAAAUCCGGUGGCCUAACCAUCGGGCGGCCAGGUAAUACUAUCAGGCUCGGGACUAAGAGAGACCAGAGGUACUCAUGAGGUAGGAGUGAAAUCCUGUAAUCUUAUGAGGACCACCAGUGGUGAAGACGUCUGGUUAGAAUAGGUCCGACGGUGAGGGACGAAGGCUGGGGGCGCAAACCGGAUUAGAUACCCGGGUAGUCCCAGCAGUAAACGAUGCCAGCUAUGUGUUGCUGGAACCAUGGGUUCCAGCAGUGCCGAAGGGAAGCCGUGAAGCUGGCCACCUGGGAAGUACGGUCGCAAGGCUGAAACUUAAAGGAAUUGGCGGGGGAGUACCACAACCGGUGGAGCCUGCGGUUUAAUUGGAUACAACGCCGGGAAUCUUACCGGAGGGGACAGCAGUAUGAAGGCCAGGCUAAAGACCUUGCCAGAUCAGCUGAGAGGAGGUGCAUGGCCGUCGCCAGUUCGUACCGUGAGGCAUCCUGUUUAGUCAGGCAACGAUCGAGACCCGCAGUCUUAUUUGCCAGCAUGCCCUUUGGGGUGUAUGGGUACAAUAAGACGACCGCCAGCGCUAAGCUGGAGGAAGGAGCGGGCUACGGUAGGUCAGCAUGCCCCGAAUCCUCCGGGAUACACGCGGGCUACAAUGGUCAGGACAAAAGGUACCGACCUCGAAAGGGUGAGGUAAUCCACAAACCUGAUCUCAGUCCGGAUCGAAGGCUGCAACUCGCCUUCGUGAAGAUGGAAUCGGUAGUAAUCGUGACUCAAAAUGUCACGGUGAAUAUGUCCCUGCUCCUUGCACGAGUUCGCCGAAUCACUAGU